UUGAGUUCUGUAGGUUCAAGAAAAUGUAAGACAAUUUGUACCGCCACCCUGCUAUGUACCAGUACCACACCUGAACAUGGCUCUUGGGCUGAUGUUCAGGAUAUCCAUGGUUUUUCCUCAUAACCUCAAUUUAAGGAAACAAAAUUCAGUAUGAAAUAAUCCGGCUUUAGAAAAUAUCUAGUUACGUUAUUCCUCUUCACUCAAAAUGGCACUGUGAAACAAUCUUUUCCCUUUAGAGAGCGAUGACACAAGAAGUGUGUGGAUUGGCUACCAAUCAUUUAGCUCCAGUCAAUUGGAUUAGUCAAACCAUUUACCUCUUAUAUCGAAUCUAAGUCUUAUACUUGCCAAAGAAAAAAGUAGUAUUCAAAACCAUAUUUACAACCAGAAAAAGAUUGCUGAGAUUUUGCACACAAAAAAUACAUAAUAAGAGCAGGGUUUUUUUCUCGGACGCGCAGGAGAGCUGCACAUGAUUAUAUUAAGAAGCAAGUAGGGAAAGUCCAAAAUGGACUCGGAUACAAGGGAAACCUCCUAAGGAGGUCUAAAACAAAGAUACAAAAAACUAUAAUAAGUGCAGAUUCAGGACAUGUCCAGAUAAGAAAACGGAUAGCCUCGCUAUACCAUACCGGCACACUAAUAACAAAUUAGAUAUGUGACGAUAAGCACAAGCCACGAAAGAGGGCACAGGUAGAUCUCAAAUAUAUGUAAAAGCAACAACCUGUCCAAGUUUGCUUGCUGGGAGGCAAGAAUAUGACUGUGGACAUCUUCCAGUAGCCUUCUGUUUUUGUUAGUAGUCGAGUACUUAC